CGGGUAUAGCUUAGUGGUAAAGCUCCAGCCUUCCAAGCUGAUCAUGAGGGUUCGAUUCCCUCUACCC
rnacentral:tRNA from 1 species